ACAGCCCCUCUUUAGCCAUUUCAUCCGAACCAAACAACCCUUGUUUUCUCCUUCAACCGACAGCCCUAACCAAACCCACCCCACCUCCCAUCACGUCACCUCACCACCACCACGCCCAUAUCCCACAAAAUCCGCUACCUACACCCCUCUUCUCCUUUCUCACACUCCAUCUCUGAAGCUUGCAGGCUCCAUGUGCGAUUUCAGCGGAUUUCAUGUUCUCGGCUGAGCAAGGACUGUUUGGAGCGGAUUCGGAGACUCGACGACGACACUUGCCUCAGCGCGCUGUCACGAAGAAGGUAAUUCUUAAAGUCCCUUCUUGUUGAUUCCUGCCUUCAUUUUAUAUUGAUAGGUGUUAAGUAUGUUUCUUUGUUUAUCUGUUUCAGUUUUGGUUGGAUUAGUUUAUGUAAUGUUAAUUACAAGGUUUUGAGAUAGGUGUUUUGGGGUGUAUACUGGUGUAAUAUAAGCUGCUAACAAGACUGUGACCCUAUGAUAUGAGUGACUAUGUGCUGGCUGAGGUUAUUCAGUCACAUUAAGUGUAGUAAGGAUAAGAGAUAAGUUUGAACUUGAAAUCUGUUCCAGUUCUAGGGAGUAAUUGACUUUAACUUAACUAAGUUGUGAUAAUCUUCCAAAACGAAUGAAAUGAUUUGUGUUGAUACUUUGUUCAAACUACUCAUUUCGGGAUACUCAUUCUUUAACCCGUCUCUUCUUUGCAUGACUUGGGGGGAAUUUCCAAUCCCCAAAUGUUGCCUGAGUUGUUGUUGAACCUGGAAAACUUGCUGCAUUUGGGAAGCUCUCAAAUUGUCAUAUUUGCAUAAGUUACUGCUGCCACAUUUAGCCAUAUUGAGCUGCUGUUUUUUUUUUUUUUUUUUCAUUUGUGUAUCACUGUAUUUUUGGUAAGUUUGUUGUUAUAUUCUAAGGCAAGAUAGUGGUUGCACGUGAGCUCUUAGUUUGAGCCAUGAACCAUUGCAAUCCUGGCCAUUUUGUUGCCAUACUUGCCGUAUGCCUGAGCUAAGUUGCUGCUGCCUUUUGGCCGCUUUGCCGCUAAGUUUGGACCAUGAGCUGCUGUGUUCUUUAGCCCCUUUGCUGUUGCAUUUGAGCAGAUGAACACUGCUGCACCUGAGGCAGCCACUAUGGCAUUUUCGGGCCAUUUGUUGUUGUGUCUUUAAGUCCUUUACUGCUGCGUUUCUAACCAAACUGCUGCUGCGUUUCGGCCAGAAUAUUGCUACACUUUAGAGUAGAUUAUUGUUGCACCUUUAAGGCUGUUUGGCUGCAUAUGAGGCUAUCUCGUUGCGGCCUUCCGAGGGCAAAAACAGUGGCUGCAGUUGAGAGUUGUUUGCCAUAGUUCCGGAUCAAUUUGCUACUGUUUUGAGGCCAAAUGGCUGCUGCUCUUUAAGUAGAUUUGGAGCCAAAACAACUGCUACGUUUUUUAGGUAUUUUGGAGGCUUAAAGUGUUGCACUUUGAAAAACUUAGCUGCUGCUCUUGUCUAAAAUCCAAAUGAACAAAUGCUACACUCGAGAAAAUGGUUUCUGUCCAUUUUUUGUUUGAUGCACUUUGAGCUGCUGCUGCACUAGGAAGAACAAAUACUACAUUUUGAUAUGUUGUUGUUGCUGCUGCACUUGAAGUUUUGAGGCCAUUGCUGGUGCAUUCUGCUCAGUUUAGAGGCCAUUGCUACUGCUUUGUUCAUCCCACGGCUGCUGCAUCUUUGGCUUCGGCAUUUGUUGUCUUGAAACUGUUUUAGAGCAGUUUGCUAGCACUUUUGGUAGCUUGCUGAAAAAAUUUGAACAAACUGUUUUAUAGCAGCUUGCUAGUACUGUUGUCUUGAUUCUUUUAUCUAGCUCUCAUUAAUUAAAGUUAUAUAGAUUUCUUUUUCCUUGUUGAGAAUUAUUUCUAAUCCUUAUCUUUAUUUUUUUUUCUUUUUUUCAUGAGGAACCUUGGGAGCAUUUGGAGUUAUGGCAACUCCGGAUUCUGCCCAUAUAAAAGAACAGCCAGUUGCAGGAUUUAAUUGCUCGUGUCUAGUGUUCCCGUCUUCCUUCCUCUCUUUAAAUUUCGUGUCUUCGUGUUAUCAUGUAUACAUGUUUAUAUUCUUGACCAACAUUUUUUAUGGAUUAUAUUUGUAGCAUAUUUAUUUCUUGCUUGAGUACGAACUUGCGGAAAAAUGGUUUAGUAUGAUAGUGAAUUUAGUUAUUUACUUCCCUUCCCUUUUUAGAUACCAAUCCCUCUUUAGAGUGAAAGACGUUUUACUAAUCGUUUUAAGGGAAUGUCUUUUAGUAUA